rnacentral:RNase_P_RNA from 1 species
UUGACAAACGCGGCAUUUCGGUGUUGAGGAAAGUCCAUGCUCACAAAAUCUGUGAUGAUUUUAGUGUUUGUGCUAAGGGAAAAAAUAACCUUAGGUAGUAUUUAAUACUAACGGCUGUGAAAUAACCUAAGUCUUAGGAUAUUGGUUAAAGUAGCUAUAAAAGUGCUAUAGUGAUGAAGAAUCUGGAAACGGAGGAAGUGGAACAUAGUAAACCCCACAAGUGAGAAACCCAAAUUUUGGUAGGGGAGUUCUUGAAAGGGAAUCAAACCUUGAGAGGAAUCAAGAAAUUGAUAGAUAAAUGUUUGUCACCUAGUUUAGGUACAGAACAUGGCUUAUAA